UCCUCGGAACUAAUAGAGAAGAGUUAAUAUAAGUACAUAAUUAUAUCACUCAUUCUUUCGAUAUUCUGUACGAUUUGUUUUGUUUUAGAAUGAGAUAGAGUAGUGGGGAUACUCUCCCACCCCUGGCGGCAAUAUAAACAGACCGACAGUUACUGAUUCAGUCUUGCCUUGAAUUCCGAAGAGUACGCAUCGCAGAUCUCGUAAAUGAGAUAGAGUAGUGGGGAUACUCUCCCACCCCUGGCGGCAAUAUAAACGAACCGACAGUUACUGAUUCAGUCUUGCCUUGAAUUCCGAAGAGUACGCAUCGCAGAUCUCGUAAAUGAGAUAGAGUAGUGGGGAUACUCUCCCACCCCUGGCGGCAAUAUAAACGAACCGACAGUUACUGAUUCAGUCUUGCCUUGAAUUCCGAAGAGUACGCAUCGCAGAUCUCGUAAAUGAGAUAGAGUAGUGGGGAUACUCUCCCACCCCUGGCGGCAAUAUAAACAGACCGACAGUUACUGAUUCAGUCUUGCCUUGAAUUCCGAAGAGUACGCAUCGCAGAUCUCGUAAAUGAGAUAGAGUAGUGGGGAUACUCUCCCACCCCUGGCGGCAAUAUAAACGAACCGACAGUUACUGAUUCAGUCUUGCCUUGAAUUCCGAAGGGUACGCCUCGCAGUUCUCGUAAAUGAGAUAGAGUAGUGGGGAUACUCUCCCACCCCUGGCGGCAAUAUAAACGAACCGACAGUUACUGAUUCAGUCUUGCCUUGAAUUCCGAAGGAAUGAGAUAGAGUAGUGGGGAUACUCUCCCACCCCUGGCGGCAAUAUAAACAGACCGACAGUUACUGAUUCAGUCUUGCCUUGAAUUCCGAAGGGUACGCCUCGCAGUUCUCGUAAAUGAGAUAGAGUAGUGGGGAUACUCUCCCACCCCUGGCGGCAAUAUAAACAGACCGACAGUUACUGAUUCAGUCUUGCCUUGAAUUCCGAAGAGUACGCAUCGCAGAUCUCGUAAAUGAGAUAGAGUAGUGGGGAUACUCUCCCACCCCUGGCGGCAAUAUAAACAGACCGACAGUUACUGAUUCAGUCUUGCCUUGAAUUCCGAAGAGUACGCAUCGCAGAUCUCGUAAAUGAGAUAGAGUAGUGGGGAUACUCUCCCACCCCUGGCGGCAAUAUAAACGAACCGACAGUUACUGAUUCAGUCUUGCCUUGAAUUCCGAAGGAAUGAGAUAGAGUAGUGGGGAUACUCUCCCACCCCUGGCGGCAAUAUAAACAGACCGACAGUUACUGAUUCAGUCUUGCCUUGAAUUCCGAAGGGUACGCCUCGCAGUUCUCGUAAAUGAGAUAGAGUAGUGGGGAUACUCUCCCACCCCUGGCGGCAAUAUAAACAGACCGACAGUUACUGAUUCAGUCUUGCCUUGAAUUCCGAAGAGUACGCAUCGCAGAUCUCGUAAAUGAGAUAGAGUAGUGGGGAUACUCUCCCACCCCUGGCGGCAAUAUAAACAGACCGACAGUUACUGAUUCAGUCUUGCCUUGAAUUCCGAAGAGUACGCAUCGCAGAUCUCGUAAUUCAAGUUGGGAGUAGGGAUACUUGGCCUCGUGAGACGACAACGUAGUUGGACUUUUGACCGACUAUUACCGUUACUAGUUCAGUUGUGUUUUGGACUUCGAUGAGAGAACAUAAAAAUUUCCGCAGAAGCCGUCCGAGAGAGUGUUAAGGAGGAGUAUACGCAAGUACAAUAUUCUAUCACUCAUAUUUUCGUCAUGCAAUACUAUUUCUUUUGUUUCAGACUUCGACUCUGUGCUUUCGGGGACUUAGAAAUUUUCGCACCUCUGGGGGACUUUGAAAAUCCAUCUCCAGAAGUGGACUUAGAAAUUUUCGCCCUUUCGUCGGACUUUGACAAUCUGUCUCCUCGAGUGGACUUAGAAAUUUUCGCAGAAGCCGCCCGAGAGAGUGUUAAGGAGGAGUAUACGCAAGUACAAUAUUCUAUCACUCAUAUUUUCGUCAUGCUAUACUAUUUCUUUUGUUUCAGACUUCGACUCUGUGCUUUCGGGGACUUAGAAAUUUUCGCACCUCUGGGGGACUUUGAAAAUCCAUCUCCAGAAGUGGACUUAGAAAUUUUCGCCCUUUCGUCGGACUUUGACAAUCUGUCUCCUCGAGUGGACUUAGAAAUUUUCGCAGAAGCCGCCCGAGAGAGUGUUAAGGAGGAGUAUACGCAAGUACAAUAUUCUAUCACUCAUAUUUUCGUCAUGCUAUACUAUUUCUUUUGUUUCAGACUUCGACUCUGUGCUUUCGGGGACUUAGAAAUUUUCGCAACUCUGGGGGACUUUGAAAAUCCAUCUCCAGAAGUGGACUUAGAAAUUUUCAAACUUUUGGGGAACUUUGAAAAUUCUAUCUCCAUGAGUGGACUUAGAAACUUGCACAACUUUAGGGAACUUUGAAAAUCUAUCUCCAUGAGUGGACUUAGAAAUUUUCAAACUUUUGGGGAACUUUGAAAAUUCUAUUUCCAUGAGUGGACUUAGAAAUUUUCGCACCUUUGAAAGACAAAAUCUAUCUCCAUGAGUGAACUUAGAAAUUUUCAAACCUUUGGAGAACUUUGAAAAUUCUAUCUCCAUGAGUGGACUUAGAAAUUUUCGCACCUUCGAAAGACAAAAUCUAUCUCCAUGAGUGAACUUAGAAACUUGCACAACUUUAGGGAACUUUGAAAAUCUAUCUCCAUGAGUGAACUUAGAAAUUUUCAAACUUUUGGGGAACUUUGAAAAUUCUAUCUCCAUGAGUGGACUUAGAAAUUUUCAAACUUUUGGGGAACUUUGAAAAUUCUAUCUCCAUGAGUGGACUUAGAAAUUUUCAAACUUUUGGGGAACUUUGAAAAUUCUAUCUCCAUGAGUGGACUUAGAAACUUGCACAACUUUAGGGAACUUUGAAAAUCUAUCUCCAUGAGUGGACUUAGAAAUUUUCAAACUUUUGGGGAACUUUGAAAAUUCUAUCUCCAUGAGUGGACUUAGAAAUUUUCAAACUUUUGGGGAACUUUGAAAAUUCUAUCUCCAUGAGUGGACUUAGAAAC